UUGCUUAUCAGUAGUCAAACUAGAUCCCACUAAUUGCAUUUGGCCGUCGUGAAUGCCUGAAUGUAGCAUUUCCUCUGUUCAGUAAUUUUGCGUCCUGGGCUCCUGGAUUGUGAGCCAUCUGUACUUCCUACUAUGAGUUGGUUCCGACAAAAUGUACACAUAUUAGAUGUGCUGCAGCCGUCAUUUGGAAUCUAUUACCUUAAUGCAACAGUGUUAAAAGAAGCCACCAUGUUCGCCGAAAGGGUCUAGAAAUUCUCACGUUAAUCUAAAAAAGAGAAGGAUAUAGAUCACAAUGUAUAUUUGGUUCACAUGAUUAAUUUUGAAUUUGGCAUUUCUAGAAGCAGAUAAUGAGAAUGCUGAGCUGUGGAGGUCUUCGUUGUUUCUGUGGAACAAGAACGAUUGUGGUAGUUUCUACCUGUUGUUGUUUCUGUGGAACAAGAACGAUUGUGGUAGUUUCUACCUGUUGUUCUGCAUGCCGCCCUUUUAGCUAUACCUUCUUGAGUAGUGGUGCUGCCAUGUAGGUGUGUUGCAGCGACUGUAGAUUAAUCAUCUGUGCAGAAUGUCAGCCCACUCAGGGCCCCAUCACCAACCCAGUUCAUUCUGUAUUUGAAAGCUCACAAGUUACUCGAUCAGAAUCUAGACUGCCACAAGUUACUCGAUCGCCCUUAGAUAAUUGAUCGUAUGUGAAGGUACUGCUGAAGACUGAACGGGACUGAUGUCAUCAUUGUGUAGUAAAAGCAAAUUUAGUGCUGGAAUUGCUGGAUGAAAAUUGAACAGGAGUGCCUUCUGCAUUGUUGUGGCUGUUGUUGAGACAACAAACCUGUGGUUCACAGAGGUACUGAAAUUGACGUAUCCGUCGAAGGACGUAUGCGGGUUAACAGUUGUGAUCAUGUGGAGUCGUUUUCUUUUUCAUUUAUCAUUGGAUUGCGUCGGUCAGUUGUACGCAUCAGUUUCACAGUCGGUCUUCCGUCAAUUAUCCUCGCUUCGACAAUACCGCCCAGUGCAUUGUGCUGUGCUUAUCCUGCGA